rnacentral:rRNA from 2 species
UGGGGAAUAUUGCGCAAUGGGGGGAACCCUGACGCAGCAACGCCGCGUGAGUGAAGAAGGCCUUCGGGUCGUAAAGCUCUGUCAUAGCCGACGAAGAAUGACUGUAAGCUAUGAGGAAGCCACGGCUAACUACGUGCCAGCAGCCGCGGUAAUACGUAGGUGGCGAGCGUUGUCCGGAAUUACUGGGCGUAAAGGGUGCGUAGGCGGAUAAUCAAGUCAGAUGUGAAAGUCCAUGGCUUAACUGUGGGAGUGCAUUUGAGACUGAAGAUCUAGAGUGCAGGAGAGGGAAGCGGAAUUCCUAGUGUAGCGGUGAAAUGCGUAGAUAUUAGGAAGAACACCAGUGGCGAAGGCGGCUUUCUGGACUGUAACUGACGCUGAAGCACGAAAGCGUGGGGAGCAAACAGG